UGACACUCAGCAUAACGUCAGAAAUAGUGC
rnacentral:piRNA from 1 species